rnacentral:rRNA from 1 species
AUUGACCGCUGGCGGCAUGCCUUACACAUGCAAGUCGAACGGCAGCACGGGAGCAAUCCUGGUGGCGAGUGGCGAACGGGUGAGUAAUAUAUCGGAACGUGCCCAGUCGUGGGGAUAACGUAGCGAAAGCUACGCUAAUACCGCAUACGAUCUAUGGAUGAAAGCGGGGGAUCGCAAGACCUCGCGCGAUUGGAGCGGCCGAUAUCAGAUUAGGUAGUUGGUGAGGUAAAGGCUCACCAAGCCGACGAUCUGUAGCUGGUCUGAGAGGACGACCAGCCACACUGGGACUGAGACACGGCCCAGACUCCUACGGGAGGCAGCAGUGGGGAAUUUUUGGGACAAUGGGCGCAAGCCUGAUCCAGCAAUGCCGCGUGCAGGAUGAAGGCCU